rnacentral:rRNA from 1 species
CUGCUGCCUUCCGUAGGAGUCUGGUCCGUGUCUCAGUACCAGUGUGGGGGACCUUCCUCUCAGAACCCCUACGCAUCGUCGCCUCGGUGGGCCGUUACCCCGCCGACUAGUUAAUGCGACGCAUGGCCAUCCUAUGCCGGAGUCGCCUCCUUUGACCACCUGGAGAUGUCUCCAAAUGGUGUUAUGCGGUAUUAGACGGAAUUUCUUCCGCUUAUCCCCCUGCAUAGGGCAGGUUCCAUACGUGUUACUCACCCGUGCGCCGG